rnacentral:misc_RNA from 1 species
GAUGAAGAACGUAGUGAAAUGCGAUACUUGGUGUGAAUUGCAGAAUCCCGUGAACCAUCGAGUCUUUGAACGCAAGUUGCGCCCGAAGCCAUCAGGUUGAGGGCACGUCUGCCUGGGCGUCACAUAUCGUUGCCCAAUGCCUAUUGCAGUGCAAUAGGAAUUUCUAGGGCGAAUGAUGGCUUCCCGUGAGCGUUGUUGCCUCGCGGUUGGUUGAAGAUCGAGUCCUUGGUAGGGUGUGCCAUGGUAGAUGGUGGUCGAGUUAGAACGAUACCGAUCAUGUGCAUGCUCCCCAAAAUAUGGCCUCUAUGACCCACACGCGUCUUUUGACGCUCAUGACGAGACCUCAGGUCAGGCGGGGCUACCCGCUGAAUUUAAGCAUAUCAAUAAGCGGAGGA